GGUCGGCCGGCACUUGCGAUGUUUAAUCGAGCAAGCGGGCAGUCGGUCGGCCGAGAAGUCGGCCAAGCAUUGAGACUUGAUGGCGCCCCUCGGCUCAUAGCGUAUGUCGAACUCGGAGAGUUCGACCGACCAUCCUAUCAUCCUCCCUGCAAGGUCCGGUUUAGAUAAAAUUUUAAAAAUAGGGUAGUCGGUUCUUACAAUUAUGGAGUGAUUUUG
rnacentral:lncRNA from 1 species